rnacentral:rRNA from 1 species
UAACACAUGCAAGUCGAGGGGCAGCAUGGUCUUAGCUUGCUAAGGCCGAUGGCGACCGGCGCACGGGUGAGUAACACGUAUCCAACCUGCCGUCUACUCUUGGACAGCCUUCUGAAAGGAAGAUUAAUACAAGAUGGCAUCAUGAGUCCGCAUGUUCACAUGAUUAAAGGUAUUCCGGUAGACGAUGGGGAUGCGUUCCAUUAGAUAGUAGGCGGGGUAACGGCCCACCUAGUCUUCGAUGGAUAGGGGUUCUGAGAGGAAGGUCCCCCACAUUGGAACUGAGACACGGUCCAAACUCCUACGGGAGGCAGCAGUGAGGAAUAUUGGUCAAUGGGCGAGAGCCUGAACCAGCCAAGUAGCGUGAAGGAUGACUGCCCUAUGGGUUGUAAACUUCUUUUAUAAAGGAAUAAAGUCGGGUAUGGAUACCCGUUUGCAUGUACUUUAUGAAUAAGGAUCGGCUAACUCCGUGCCAGCAGCCGCGGUAAUACGGAGGAUCCGAGCGUUAUCCGGAUUUAUUGGGUUUAAAGGGAGCGUAGAUGGAUGUUUAAGUCAGUUGUGAAAGUUUGCGGCUCAACCGUAAAAUUGCAGUUGAUACUGGAUAUCUUGAGUGCAGUUGAGGCAGGCGGAAUUCGUGGUGUAGCGGUGAAAUGCUUAGAUAUCACGAAGAACUCCGAUUGCGAAGGCAGCCUGCUAAGCUGCAACUGACAUUGAGGCUCGAAAGUGUGGGUAUCAAACAGGAUUAGAUACCCUGGUAGUCCACACGGUAAACGAUGAAUACUCGCUGUUUGCGAUAUACUGCAAGCGGCCAAGCGAAAGCGUUAAGUAUUCCACCUGGGGAGUACGCCGGCAACGGUGAAACUCAAAGGAAUUGACGGGGGCCCGCACAAGCGGAGGAACAUGUGGUUUAAUUCGAUGAUACGCGAGGAACCUUACCCGGGCUUAAAUUGCAGAUGAAUUACGGUGAAAGCCGUAAGCCGCAAGGCAUCUGUGAAGGUGCUGCAUGGUUGUCGUCAGCUCGUGCCGUGAGGUGUCGGCUUAAGUGCCAUAACGAGCGCAACCCUUGUUGUCAGUUACUAACAGGUUCCGCUGAGGACUCUGACAAGACUGCCAUCGUAAGAUGUGAGGAAGGUGGGGAUGACGUCAAAUCAGCACGGCCCUUACGUCCGGGGCUACACACGUGUUACAAUGGGGGGUACAGAGGGCCGCUACCACGCGAGUGGAUGCCAAUCCCCAAAACCUCUCUCAGUUCGGACUGGAGUCUGCAACCCGACUCCACGAAGCUGGAUUCGCUAGUAAUCGCGCAUCAGCCACGGCGCGGUGAAUACGUUCCCGGGCCUUGUACACACCGCCCGUCAAGCCAUGGGAGCCGGGGGUACCUGAAGUGCGUAACCGAGAGGAGCGCCCUAGGGUAAAACUGGUGACUGGGGCUAA